rnacentral:rRNA from 1 species
GAGUUUGAUCCUGGCUCAGAUUGAACGCUGGCGGCAGGCCUAACACAUGCAAGUCGAGCGGUAGAGAGAAGCUUGCUUCUCUUGAGAGCGGCGGACGGGUGAGUAAUGCCUAGGAAUCUGCCUGGUAGUGGGGGAUAACGCUCGGAAACGGACGCUAAUACCGCAUACGUCCUACGGGAGAAAGCAGGGGACCUUCGGGCCUUGCGCUAUCAGAUGAGCCUAGGUCGGAUUAGCUAGUUGGUGAGGUAAUGGCUCACCAAGGCGACGAUCCGUAACUGGUCUGAGAGGAUGAUCAGUCACACUGGAACUGAGACACGGUCCAGACUCCUACGGGAGGCAGCAGUGGGGAUAUUGGACAAUGGGCGAAAGCCUGAUCCAGCCAUGCCGCGUGUGUGAAGAAGGUCUUCGGAUUGUAAAGCACUUUAAGUAGGAGGAAGGGCAGUAAAUUAAUACUUUGCUGUUUGACGUUACCGACAGAAUAAGCACCGGCUAACUCUAGUGACAGCCGCCG